rnacentral:rRNA from 1 species
GACGAACGCUGGCGGCGUGCUUAACACAUGCAAGUCGAACGGAAAGGCCCUGCUUUUGUGGGGUGCUCGAGUGGCGAACGGGUGAGUAACACGUGAGUAACCUGCCCUUGACUUUGGGAUAACUUCAGGAAACUGGGGCUAAUACCGGAUAGGAGCUCCUGCUGCAUGGUGGGGGUUGGAAAGUUUCGGCGGUUGGGGAUGGACUCGCGGCUUAUCAGCUUGUUGGUGGGGUAGUGGCUUACCAAGGCUUUGACGGGUAGCCGGCGUGAGAGGGUGACCGGCCUCAUUGGUACUGAGAUACGGCCCAGACUCCUACGGGAGGCAGCAGUGGGGAAUAUUCCACAAUGGGCGGAAGCCUGAUGCAGCAACGCCGCGUGCGGGAUGACGGCCUUCGGGUUGUAAACCGCUUUCGCCUGUGACGAAGCGUGAGUGACGGUAAUGGGUAAAGAAGCACCGGCUAACUACGUG